UGGAAUGUUGACAUCACUGCUCCGACUCGCUGACGACUGCUGAGCCUCAUCUUCAAUUAAUACUCUCUUCUGUUGUAAUUUAAGCAUGCAGACCUACAGACAACACCUUGAUGACUUGUAAGAAAUAAGGAUGUUAAGUCAGCUUGAUGAUAAGAGGAAGCGAGGAUUUCAUGUAAGACGAGAUCCUUUUCAGCAUUAUAAUGAAGGAGAAUUUAAUUAGCGCUACAGAGUAUCUAAGAACAGCACCAUGGAGCUGCUUACAAAAAUCAGACAUCAUCUACUAAUGUCACUGAGCCAUAGAGGCAUUCCAAUUCCUCCAGUUUUACAGCUACUGGUUGCCAUGAGAUACAAGGCUACAGGAAAUUUUCAAAUAACUCUGGGAGACUGUUCAGACAUGUCUCAACCAAGUGUUAGCAAAUGUGUCCGGAAUGUUUCUGCUUCUAUUGCCACUCUUGCACCAGGUUAUAUUAAAUUCCCCUUUCCUGACCGAGAGAAGAUGAUUUCCUGCAGGAAUUUGCCUCUAUUGCUGGAAUGCCAGGUGUGAUAGGCUGCAUAGAUGGGACUCACAUUCCAAUCAAGAGCCCUUGAAAGUCAAAUCCUGAACUCCACAGGAGUUGAAAGAAUUUCUUCUCCAUUAAUGUCAUGGGCGUAUGUGAUGCACACAUGAAAUUUACAAACCUUGUCGUAAACUGGCCGGGCAGUACUCAUGACUCCCGCAUAUUCACAACGUCAAGACUUUGUGAAAGUCUGCAGGUCGGUGAACAUCGAGGCUUUAUCCUUGGUGAUAGUGGAUAUGCGUUGCGUCCAUACUUACUCACUCCAAUCCAUAAUCAAGCUAAUGAAAAGCAGAGGAAAUAUAACAGAUCUCAUUUUAAAACAAGAACUACAAUUGAAAGGACAUUUGGGGUGUGGAAGAGGAGAUUUGCUGUACUGCAGCAUGUAAGAGCAAAGCUGUCUACUACUAAAAAUAUUAUAAUUGCAUGUGCAGUUCUCCAUAUUAUGGCUUUGAUUUCUGGACUUCCACUGGACAUAAAAGACAUGCAUUUAGAAGACCCUGACGACCCUGAAGAAAUGAUCAGAUAUGGAAAUUAUGAAGGUCAAGCAAGGAGGGAGUAUAUAGUGGAGCAUUUUUUUUUAAUUAAA
rnacentral:lncRNA from 1 species